GUUGACUCUGUGGGCCUCCAUCCGGCCUGUUGGGAAACUUCCAGAGACAUCCCCAGGGAGGGGGUUCAGAGAGCUUCCUGGCCUGUGGACACACGCAGGUGUGGGGAGAGAGGUGCUCCCGGAGACGCCACGGGAGUUCUGCCCCCUUCCCCACACCUGGCCCUGUGCAUGACUCCUCUGGCUGGUCCUGAGUCCUGUCCUGUCACCAUCAACCGUGGCCCGUCCAGGAUCCAUCCUGGGACCCCACGUUACAUCUUGGUCACGGCGGCUGACUGUCCUCCUGCAUGGGGAAGGCCCUACAUCUUUCCUGAUCUUUCGUGACCCGAACACUUGAAGAAUAACGAGAGACAGAGCAUGAACGGGGGAGGGGCAGAGAGAGAGGGAGAC